AGUGAACGCUGGCGGUAGGCCUAACACAUGCAAGUCGAACGGCAGCACAGUAAGAGCUUGCUCUUACGGGUGGCGAGUGGCGGACGGGUGAGGAAUACAUCGGAAUCUACUUUUUCGUGGGGGAUAACGUAGGGAAACUUACGCUAAUACCGCAUACGACCUACGGGUGAAAGCAGGGGAUCUUCGGACCUUGCGCGAUUGAAUGGGCCGAUGUCGGAUUAGCUAGUUGGCGGGGUAAAGGCCCACCAAGGCGACGAUCCGUAGCUGGUCUGAGAGGAUGAUCAGCCACACUGGAACGGAGACACGGUCCAGACUCCUACGGGAGGCAGCAGUGGGGAAUAUUGGACAAUGGGCGCAAGCCUGAUCCAGCCAUACCGCGUGGGUGAAGAAGGCCUUCGGGUUGUAAAGCCCUUUUGUUGGGAAAGAAAAGCAGCAGGUUAAUACCCCGCUGUUCUGACGGUACCCAAAGAAUAAGCACCGGCUAACUUCGUG
rnacentral:rRNA from 1 species